CUAGGAGAUAUAUUUAUACACGUGUGUGUGCUUGUACUAACCAUCUAUAUACAUCUGUCUCUUCCUUUGUGCAUACACAAACAUUGUAUAUAUAGUAAUCAUGCAUGCAUAAGCAUAUAUUUUUCUCUAUCUCUGUAUUUCUAUGCAAAUAUAUGUGUACAUAAGCAUAUAUAUGAACAUAUGUGCAUAUAUAAAAUAAGUUCACAUAGCAUUUCUUGUCUGUUUACUUUUCUUUAUAAUUUCAACCUUUAUUUUAGAUUUACGGGCUACAUGUGCAUGUUGGUUACAUGGAUAUAUUGCACGAUGCUGAGAUUGGAGUAUCAUUCAUUCUGCCACCCAGAUAAAGUCUUAUGACUCAAGUUCACCAUGUUAAUCCAGGGACACGUAAGCAAACAAAAGAAAGUCUCAGGACAACAUGAUGAUUACUGCUUUUGUGGACAAGAGUUUAUCUGAGGAUCACCCCAAAAUUUGUGAAUACUGGUAAGUUUUAGGAAUAUGUAUAUUGGAUGUUUGGGAUUUUCUUAACUAUGGAUAACAAUCCACUUAAUUUUUGGUUGAUCAGUUAUACUCUAGAUGCACUAGGACAAGGAAAACGGUCCAAGCACCUGCUAUAAUUUUCUUAUUAGUUAUUGUUACACACAUGCAGUUCAUUAAAGGCAUAUUCAAGGGCUCUUUGGAUUUUUCAAGAGGUAGGAUAUAUUACUUACAGAAAUGUGGCCAAGAGAUUUUAGACAGUUAACUAUGUGAUAAUCAUAUAUGCAUCAUAGAGGAAGAUUGAAGAGAAAGUUGCAAAAAGCUGACCUAAACUAAGGAGACAGAUUUUUUUAAGUAUAUAACUAGGAGAAGAAUCAGGACUUUCUCCAAGGAUAAAUUAAAAUUGUGUUGCUGAAAAUGAAUGAAUUUACCAAUAGAGAAGAGCAGACUAAUAAAUAAACCAAGAGUUGGUUCUUUGCAGAGAAAUUACCUGCUAAAUUAUUAGCUAACCUAUUCAAAUAUCAAAAUGAAAACUCCAAUACAAUAUAUAAAAAUAAGAAUGUGCGAAUGACCAAAGGCACAGGACAUUAAAAUAAUUGUGAGAUUAAUUUGUUUGUAUGUUUAGAAGUAAAUUUGGAAAUCUAAGUAAAAUAAGUUUUUUUUCCCCUUGUGAAAAUGUUAAAUAUGCUCAUUACCUUCAUAAAAUUAUCAAGGAACUAUUACCUUCAAACAUACACCAAUCAAUUUAUAGAAUAAGUCUGCCAAAUUAAUGUGGAAAGGAAGAGGAAAAUCUCUGUCGUUGUUACUGCUUCAUUUGUGAACUGUCUGGAUUCAAAACCUGUCUUCAACUAGCUUUUCACUGGAGUUAUUAGAUUGAUGCAAAAGUAAUUGAGGUUUCUGCCAUUAAAAGUAAUGUACUUGGCCAGUCAUGGUGGCUCAAUCCUGUAAUCCCAGGACUUUGGGAGGCUGAGGCCAGCAAAUCACUGGAGGUCAGGAGUUUGAGACCAGCCUGGCCAACAUGGUGAAAAUCUGUCUACUAAAAAUACAAAAAUUAGCUGGGCAUGGUGGCACAUGCCUGGAAUCCCGCUACUCGGGAAGUUGCUGGGGGAAAAUUGCUUGAACCCAGGAGGUGGAGGUUGCAGUGAGUAGAGAUCAUGCCACUGCACUCCAGUCUGGGAGACAGAGCAAUAAUCCAUCUCAAAAAACAAAACAAAACAAAACAAGUAAUGGCAAUAUUUAACUUCCCUCUGCUUCUUUUUUACAAUUUGCAAAAUGAGAAUGGUAAUAGUAUUUUCUUUAUAAGUCUAUCAUGAGGAUUAAAGCAGUUAAUAUUGAUGAAGCAUUUAGAACAGUGCCAGAUACAUAAUGCUAUAUAUAAGCUUUUAUUAAACAAAAUAAUAUUUAACAAGCACACAUAUUUUAAAACCACAGAUAAAUCUAACUUACAAAUAUUAAUGGAAACAUUACAAAUAAAC
ensembl:lncRNA